rnacentral:rRNA from 1 species
CCUACGGGAGGCAGCAGUGGGGAAUAUUGCACAAUGGGGGAAACCCUGAUGCAGCGACGCCGCGUGGAGGAAGAAGGUCUUCGGAUUGUAAACUCCUGUUGUUGAGGAAUGAUAAUGACGGUACUCAACAAGGAAGUGACGGCUAACUACGUGCAGCAGC